rnacentral:lncRNA from 1 species
GAAAUUUCACAAUUUCUCUUUCCUUACUCUCUCUUUCAGACUCUCUCUCUAAAAAGGGGACGAAAUCCCUCUCUACAACCUUCGAUUUGUAUUUGGGACGAAGACUUCCGUCAAAUAGCCGGAGGCGAGGAGAACGGGAAAGAUGACAACAUCAUAGUAUUUCAAAUAGCUCCUUCAAGUUGAGUCUGAAACGAUUUUUAUACCCAUUUUUGGUAUUAUUUUCACAUUUUUUUGGUAUUAUUUUCACUGCUUUUUGGAGCUACUGUAUUUGUUUUCAUGUACAUCUUUAAAUUUUUGUCUUCACACGGGAAAUGUGGUUGGGAAUCUCUCUACACCGCCGGAUUUUGUUAUUUAUUUAUUUUCUUUUUACAUUAAAUGGUAUCACAAGUAGUUCAUGAGUGGAUUUCUUCUCCUUACAUCCACUCUUUAUAAGAAUGUACUUUCAAAACUUCAAAUGUAAAGAAAAUAAAAGGUUAAUUAAAGGCACUAUCUGCUCUGUUUUUUGCACAUCUUUCAUGUGUUACAUUUACUUUUCUUUCAAGAAGCAUAUAUAAUAUUUACAUUUCAUUUUCCCAAAUCCUAACUACAAGAUAUAUGGUCAACAAGAUUAUUUUUACCGUCUUUGAUUCGUUAAACUUGAAGUUGGAUGAAUGAUAAAAAUUUUCUAAUGUCUCUCUUCUUUACUCAUAUUCGCUAUUUUAGCACUUGAUUAAUUUGUUUUAUUGGAUUAGGAUUGUUCUAUGGGUGGCCAAAACAGGGGAUUAUGUCAUUCUUGUAGGAUUGCGGACACAUGUUGCCGGAAUGUCCAAAAAAUAUUAAAUGCCCAAACUGUGGCGAGGGCUUCGUUAGGUGGUUGGAGGUAAAAAAGAAUUCAGACAAUAAAGGGCUGUUGUUCCAUAGUUGUACCUGCAACUGUUAGCUUUUCAAGCUUUCUAACGUUCCGCCGUAUAAAGAGUAUUCAUUGCAAGGUGAAUCAGGUGGUACUACCAACGGAAGUGAACCAGUCGACGAUUUGUCUCGUAUGUUGACGACAUGUGCAAAAAUAACCGAGGAGAGAAACUUGGAGAUUUCAUUCAACAUCACCAUACGCAAAGGGAAACGAGUUUACGGAAGAUGUACAAUGAAGUCUAUGUAAUUGAAUAGCUUCGACUUAUUGUACUUAAAAUUGCAGUGAUGGCUGUCUUUGGAGCAUAUUUUUUGUUUAGGUGUCUUGAUCUAGAGCAGUUUUCAUUGUGCAUAGUGAACUUUUACAAGUGUUCUCAAUCAAGUUUCAUGUUGCAGUAGAUUGCUUAUUUGGUUGUCUACCCAAUUAUGCUAUUUUACAA